CUUGUGCCACGGUGGCCCAAAUGUCAGUCAACCAGACAUGUCUUCUGAGAGUUCCCAGGAAUGUGGUGAAGAGCAACUGUAAGCGAUAAGAUUGUUCCCAGCGCUAAUAAAACUUUGGAGUUAAUUAACUGAGAAGAAGGUAAAAUGAAAUGUUGUUAUGAGGGCUAAAGUUGUUUUUCUACCUUUUUGAAAAUUAUUUUUUAUCUGUUGAAAUUAUAAUAUAAUUAUCAUCUCUCCUUCUUUUUGCUCCCCUCUCAGAAAUUAACAGCCUUGAGUUGCAGGUGGAAGGUGCAGAAGCCAAAUUAAAAACAGUCUUUUCAGGCUGAGCUCAGGAGCCUGAAUUUCCAUGCUGUAAGUGGCUGGGAUCCACUGGAGGAUUUUAAUUGUGUAAGUUGACAAGAUCAGAUUUGCUAUUCAGAAAGCACACCCUGGCACAGAUCGGUGGGUGGAAUAGAAAGUGGUUGCCCUGGAGACAGGCAGACCCAUUAGGAAGCUCUGACAAAGAUCCAGGAGAGAGAAAAUGAGGAUAGUGGUUGGAGGAAUGAGCAGAUUCAAAGACAUUUUAGAGGUGGAACGGAUGGUCGGGAGACGCUCAUUCAGUGUAAAUGCUGAAGGAAAGGAAGAACCAAGGAGCGCUGUGGUUUCCAGCUUGGAUUUCUAUAUGGAUAGUGAAUAAUUAAUGAAGAUGUGGCGGGCGGGCAUAAUGGGGACUUAAGAGGGAGGUAGUUGUAGAUGGACGUGAUCAAUAUACAUUUGUUUAAAUGUGUAUAACUUUCAAAGAGUAAGAGAAUUAUUAUUUUAAUAGAUCAAGGUAUAAAAUACAAAAAAAAGUCAAAUGGGGGGGGGGGUUUGCUAAUGAAUUCAUAUGUGACCUGUUGAAUUUGAUGUAUCUUUUGGACUUGUAGGUGAAGAAGUCACAUGUGGUGAAUAUAUUAUCAUCAGAAUGCGGAGCAAUGAAAUGUAAACAGAUAGGAAUCGUCACUAAAGCUCCAACUGCAGCCUCCGGGUGCCAUAGCUUUUGCACCAUCCAUUUGCACCAUCUCUGCAUUGCUCUCAAUCACUGCCACGAGUCUGGUGAUGCGCUAAGCUCGGGGCAGGAUCUCAAGGGCUUUGAGGAUGUCUGCAUCAUCUGUAUUGACCUGCUCCCCAGAUUAAUACCGAAGCACUGCAAUUUCUUGAGGAUUAUCCACCUAGGAGGAAAUGAUACGCUGGCCCAUCCAUAGUAGUCAAGGGAACCACCAUCUCAGAUGGUAGAAACCACUCAGAAGGAUCAACUGCUGCAGACGGGAAGAGGAGCAACCUCGUGAAUAAUUUCGUGACAGGAUAUUGCAGGAGGGACUUUGUCCAAAUGUGUGCAGGGUAGUUGGCUACAGCAACAAGGAUGACGAACACAGAUGAAUUGAUCAGGAUGUAACCAUUCAAAGUUGAGAGGAUUAGAGGACUUCUCCGAGGCGGCUCCAAUGGAUGCCAGCAGAGUUAAAGUGUCCAAUGGAGAGAAGAGAAGGCUUGGGAAAUCCAGAGUCCAUUCAUUCAUCGCCCUCCUCCUAGAACAACAAAAGCGAGCCCCAGUACUCAUCAGCAUGGACUCUGUGUGUAGUCAUCUCCCUUAGUUUCAGAGGUUCCUGCCUACAGCAAAACUUUAGAGGCUUAGAGUUUAACGGUCAUAGCUUAUUCACCUCCAACUGUGUCCUAGUUCAAGAGAAACACUUCACAUAUCUGUAGGGAGAAGAUAAUGAACCAAGGAUACAAGUUAAGCCUUAGCUAAGACCUGUUACUCAGGAAAAAGAGCUAAAACAAGCUGCUUAGAUCAGCACCAAUGUUAGGUAGAGAGAAAAAGAAACGCUGCAUAGAAAUCUUAAGGUUCACAUGUGCUCCAGGCUGGGUCAACAACUUCUAAUUUCCUUUGCCAACCAACCAUGUCUUUGACAGAAAUGAUCCUUCUACAUAGACCACAGAGGGAUCCAAUGGAGGUUUCUCUUCCUGAAUUUGGGGAUUCAGAAUCUGGACAAAUUCCUUUCCAUCAAAGUCCAGUACAAAAGUAGUACCAUGGCAGUCCCUGCAGGGACUUGCAUCACUUUCCCUAGAGAUAUCAAGAGAAUUUUUAGUGAUAAGAAUAUGGCACAAAAUGAGAAAUCCCAUUACUCUUAAGAGAAUCUCUUCCUUCUCAAAGGCACCUGAUUAAUACAUAUAGUACUAUCAGUAAGGCUGAGCAAAAGGAUACUGAUGUUCUGAGUGAUCUUAAAUCAUGUAAUAAUAACUUUAUUCGUAGUAUAGAACGGAAUAUUCCCUAUUAGUAAUCAGUUCCUUUGCCAGAUCCUCAUAGUAUCUUAGUCACUGUUUUAUUGUUAUGAAGAGAAACUUUGACCACAGCACCUCUUAGAAAAAAGGAAGCAUUUAAUCGGGACUUCCUUAUGGUUUCACAGUUUUACAUAAUUGUCAACAUGGCAGAGAACAUGGGGGCACGCAAACAGACAUGGUGCUGGAGAAGUAGCGGAGAAUAUACAGCAACAUAUAGAUACAAAAUAUAGAUACAUAUAGAUACAGAAUAUAGAUACAUAUAGCUACAUAUAGAUCUGCAGGCAGCAGGAAGAGACUGGGACAAGGCCAUACCUUCUAAGGCUUCUCAAGGAGUGUCACUUCCUGAUGACCAAGCAUUCAAGUGUAUGAGCUUAUGGGAGCCAUUCUUAUUCAAGCCACCACACAUAGCAAAGCUGAUAAUGUCAUUUUCUGAAUUAACCAGGCCAAGGCACACUUCUUAGCAACAUGGUUACCUGGUAACCAGAGAUUUUUCUCAUCCCAUGAGAGAUUUCAUUCAAGAACUGAUCUUCUAACAGUUUUGUCUCUCUUAAGAAUGCUACAGACAGGGUGGGGUGAGGCACAGUGCUGAAGCCCCUCAAGUUUCCCAGAGGGAUGAGUCCAUGAAAGACGAAAAUCAUGUGGUCACACUGAGCAUAGACUUCACAAGCAUCAUGCUAGGAUUCCAUUUUCUUUCUCAACACAAUGAUAAAUUCUUCUUCCAAUAAGCAGAAAAUCAUCCAAUGGGAAAAAAAAAUAAAACCAACUAACUUGCAGUCCUUUGGAACAGUUUCAUAGCUUACAGGAUGGCUUCAUAACCCUGGGGACACUCGUUUUGACAUGAAAACUUCCUUCAGAACAGGAAUUCUGAUCCAACAUGUGCUCAGACAUCAUUUCAGUCACUUGCAAAUGAACAAGAAAGCUCAUGUAAAUGAGGAGGCUCAACUCCCAGGCCUGGUGAGUGGGUAAGACAUUCCUCUGCUGGGUUUUGAAGGCUGUCUGAAACCAUCGGCUGACAUCCUUCUCUGUGUGCAUGUAUGCACUAUCUACGGGAAAUUCAGCUCCAACCGGUUGUCUCUACAGCUCCCUUAAUCUUCUCCUCCCUCCUCCUGGCAUUGGCAUGUGUCCCAGGACUGCAGCGAGGAGUGCUUACCAACAAAGGUGCUGGCAUCUGCAUUUGUUUCACAGCCACAAACCUAAUGGUUCCAUGAUUUUGGCGAGCAAAACUGUCAAAAUGCCUGAGCACAAGAGAUCACAAGAUGAGCCAAGGCAUAGUGUGCAUGCCUUCCUUCCCAGCACUCGGAAGGCAGAGGCAAGGGGAUCUCUGUGGGUUCAAGGCCAGCCUGAAUCACAAGGUGUACUGGGGAUUCUUUUUUAUUGUUUUCCUUUUGCUAUCUGGAAUAGUUUGAGAUUGUAUUUGAUCAGUGCAUUAAACAAC
rnacentral:lncRNA from 1 species